GAGUUGUUACUGAGUGAGUUUCUUAAUGAACCAAGAGAGAAUUUAGAAGAACGUGAAGCAGCAAUACAACUUAGAGAGAGAAUAGAGGAGCAGGAGUUGUUGCUGGAAUUCCUUCUGUUGAUACAACAAAGAAAACAGGAAGCUGCUGAUAAGUUACAAGAUACUGUUUCUCUCCUGUGUUCCGAUAUUGAAGAAGUUAUGGCACACCGAACAUUUCUUAAGAAAAAGGGCGGCUCAGGCCUAGAAAGACCGAAGGAUGAUAAUUUUGCAUCAAAUCUCCC
rnacentral:misc_RNA from 1 species